rnacentral:rRNA from 1 species
CUACGGGUUGCUCCAGUGGGGAAUAUUGGACAAUGGGCGAAAGCCUGAUCCAGCAAUACCGCGUGAAUGAUGAAGGCCUUAGGGUUGUAAAGUUCUUUUAGUUGGAAAGAUAAUGACGGUACCAACAGAAAAAGCCCCGGCUAACUCCGUGCCAGCAGCCGCGGUAAGACGGAGGGGGCUAGCGUUGUUCGGAAUUACUGGGCGUAAAGGGCGCGUAGGCGGAUUAGUAAGUUGGGAGUGAAAGCCCGGGGCUUAACCUCGGAACUGCUUUCAAAACUGCUAGUCUUGAGUGAAGUAGGGGAUGAUGGAAUUCCUAGUGUAGAGGUGAAAUUCUUAGAUAUUAGGAGGAACACCGGUGGCGAAGGCGGUCAUCUGGACUUCAACUGACGCUGAGGCGCGAAAGCGUGGGGAGCAAACAGGAUUAGAUACCCCAGUAGUC